UAUCACUAAGCGGAGGAAAAGAAACUAACCAGGAUUCCCUCAGUAGCGGCGAGUGAAGCGGGAAGAGCCCAUCGCCGAAUCCCAAAGUCCGACCGGGCCUCGGGAGCUGUGGCGUGAGGCGGCUUCGGGCGCUCGAGUUCGCGGUGCCGAGGUCCUCCUGAUCGGGGCACCUUACCCAGAGCGGGUGUCAGGCCCGUUCAGGCGCCGGAACUCGUGGGCCUGGAGCCACCAAGAGUCGGGUAGUUUUGGAAUGCUGCCCAAAGAGGGGUGGUGAACUCCAUCCAAGGCUAAAUACUGGCACGAGACCGAUAGCAGACAAGUACCGUGAGGGAAAGUUGAAUGUCUCCCCGGCGUUCACUGCUCGCAGUGGUCGCCGAGGGACGGUCGGCGGCGGGAGCGGACGGGUGGCACGUGGCGCCUCGGGUCGCCGGGCGAAGCUGGGCGCCUGCUCGACCCGUCUUGAAACACGGACCAAGGAGUCUAACGGGCCCGCGAGUCAGGGGGCCUCUCGAAACCCCACGGCGCAAUGAAGGUGAAGGUCGAUUCGGUCGACCGAGGUGGGAUCCUCCCUCUUCGCGGGGGAGGCGCACCACCGCCCCGCCAUAUCCGCUCUGCUCGGUGUGGCGGAGGCAGAGCGGGCACGCUAGGACCCGAAAGAUGGUGAACUAUGCCCGAGCAGGAUGAAGCCAGAGGAAACUCUGGUGGAGGUCCGCAGCGAUUCUGACGUGCAAAUCGAUCGUCCGACUUGGGUAUAGGGGCGAAAGACUAAUCGAACCAUCUAGUAGCUGGUUCCCUCCGAAGUUUCCCUCAGGAUAGCUGGCGCUCGACGCAGUUUUAUCUGGUAAAGCGAAUGAUUAGAGGCCUUGGCC
rnacentral:rRNA from 1 species